CCUACGGGGGGCUGCAGUGAGGUAUAUUGGUCAAUGGACGAGAGUCUGAACCAGCCAAGUCGCGUGAAGGAAGAAGGUUCUAUGGAUUGUAAACUUCUUUUGUAAGGGAAUAAAAAAGGCCACGUGUGGCUUCUUGUAUGUACUUUACGAAUAAGGAUCGGCUAACUCCGUGCCAGCAGCCGCGGUAAUACGGAGGAUCCGGGCGUUAUCCGGUUUUAUGGGGUUGAAGGGGUACCUGUAAGUAAGUGGUGAAAGUUUGCAGCUCAACUGUAAAAUUGCCAUUGAAACUAUUGGUCUUGAGUGUAAAUGAGGUAGGCGGAAUGUGUUGUGUAGCGGUGAAAUGCUUAGAUAUAACACAGAACACCAAUUGCGAAGGCAGCUUACUAGGAUACAACUGACGCUGAGGCACGAAAGCGUGGGGAUCAAACAGGAUUAGAUACCCGAGUAGUC
rnacentral:rRNA from 1 species